ensembl:lncRNA
GGAAAACUGAGAUUCAGUAAUUUGCACAUGGUCACUGGGGAGCAGUGGUUUUUGAUGACAUCACACUGAAAGAUUUAUUGACUGUCUAUUGAGUAAGCUUAGGGAGUGGGGUGGGCACUGAGAAUAAGCAUGAAAAAGCAUGUUUUCUGCCCCAGAAGAGCUCCCAUACGGUCUAGGUGCAAAGGAGCAGUCACAGCAGUAUAAUAAUGUGUUUUCAGGGGUGUUCUGAGAUCAUAGUGGGUAAAACACACACAGAGCAGUUACAUGCCUGAGGGUGAGGGUUGGGAUGGAAGAGAGGAUUGCCAGGGAUGACUAACACAGGAGUUGACAUAUAAGCUGGUUCUUUAAACAACUAGUAGAAUUUUAUAAGGUGGAGAAAAGAAAGAUUUGAGACAGCACUGUGUAGAAAGUCACGGAGUUUUUUGUUUUUUUUUUUUACAAAUAUCCAGGAUAUUUGGGGAAAUCAUAAGUGGCUAUGAGGAGGUGAGGGAGAAGCAUGUCUACAAUUAAAAGGAAAGAGGAGAGAGGGCGGAGGAGACUGGCAAGGGCACAAACAGGGACCCACAGUGCCACCGGCUUCCUCCGCCUCCCACGCGGGUUCAGGCUGAGCGGUGAGGAGAUUGUGCGCCUGCGUGCCAACGGCUCUCCCUGCCCCGCCCGUGCAAGCUCCGCCCACUUGCCCUAACCACCAUGUGGGAUGCAGGUCUCUCUGGUUCACCGGUUCACCGUUUGCUCACGCCCAGCCUGUGAAGAGAAGGAAGAGGCUCCUGGAAGGCACCUGAGGGCCAUGUGAGCAGGGAAUACCGGGCUCCUCGUUGAGUGUUGGCUAGUGCAGGGCUUGCCUCCGGGACUCCUUAUUAGGCUAACAAAAUGGCCCAUUUGUGAUGAGAUAGAGUCGCUUUUCACAGAAGAAUCCCAGAAUGUAGAAGAAUCCCAGUUAAUAAAUGUAGUGAAAUAAUUUAUUCAGGCACUGAUCAUCACUAGAUGAAGCCAUCAGGAGAAAGGUUAAUGGAGAAGUUUACUGUCACCAUUUGAAAACAUUGAUCAAUCUUGGCAUCACUAAAGACAGGAAAGCUAGACCCUGUAGGCCUUCUAGUUGAUGCUAGUGGUAAAGAAUCCACCUGCCAAUGCAGGAAACACAAGAAAUGUGGAUUCAAUCCCUGGGUACCGACAGAAGAUCCCCUGGAGUAGGAAAUGGCAACCUGCUCCAGUACUCUUGCUUGGAGAUUCCCAUGGACAGAGGAGCUUGGUGGGCUACAGUCCAUAGGGUUGGAAAGAGACACAACUCAGUGUGCAUGUGUGCGUGCGCACACACACACACACACGUGAUGUGCCAUGAGAAACAGCACUUCUUAGGAAGUAUUCUGGCCAAAACUGUUGAACCUUAAGCUAAAUAAACCCUAAGAACUAAUUUCCCGCUUACAGGAAAUACAGGGUUGAGGGAAAAGUCAAACAACACAAGAAAGAAAACAGACAAAUACAGAAUAAUGGGACACUCAACAGGACAGCUCACUCGGCUUCUUCAGAAAAUUAGAUGGCAUUGGUGAAAAGGGGUGGAGGGAUGCUGUCUUAGAGGCUUCAGAGAUAAUAGGAAAUGUAUAGAAUUGUUUGGAUCCUUAUUUAAUAAAGCCAUCUGUAGUCAGUAUCCCCUGCACUGGCAGGCUGAUUCUUAGCCAGUAGACCAACUGGGAAGCCCUACACCAGGAUUUUCACUUUAAAAUAUUUCAGCAAAAAAAAAAAAAAA